rnacentral:rRNA from 1 species
AGUGAACGCUGGCGGUAGGCCUAACACAUGCAAGUCGAACGGCAGCACAGUAAGAGCUUGCUCUUACGGUUGGCGAGUGGCGGACGGGUGAGGAAUACAUCGGAAUCUACUUUUUCGUGGGGGAUAACGUAGGGAAACUUACGCUAAUACCGCAUACGACCUACGGGCGAAAGCAGGGGAUCUUCGGACCUUGCGCGAUUGAAUGAGCCGAUGUCGGAUUGGCUAGUUGGCGGGGUAAAGGCACACCAAGGCGACGAUCCGUAGCUGGUCUGAGGGGAUGAUCGGCCACACUGGAACUGGGACACGGUCCAACCCCCUACGGGAGGCAGCGGUGGGGAAUAUUGGACAAUGGGGGCAAGCCUGAUCCAGCCAUACCGCGUGGGUGAAGAAGGCCUUCGGGUUGUAAAGCCCUUUUGUUGGGAAAGAAAAUCAGCAGGUUAAUACCCCGCUGUUCUGACGGUACCCAAAGAAUAAACACCGGCUAACUUCGU